rnacentral:misc_RNA from 1 species
CAGAGUUGCAAAACCCCCUAAACCAUUGUGAACGUUACCUAAACCGUUGCUUCGGCGGGCGGCCCGGGUCCUUCCCGGCGCCCCUCGGCCCUCGCGGGCGCCCGCCGGAGGUAAACCAAACUAUUGCAUUGUAUGGCCUCUCUGAGUCUUCUGUACUGAAUAAGUCA